rnacentral:rRNA from 1 species
GACGUAGGUGGCGAACGUUAUCCGGAAUUAUUGGGCGUAAAGAGCUCGUAGGCGGUCUGUCGCGUCUGCCGUGAAAACCCGAGGCUUAACCUCGGGCUGGCGGUGGAUACGGGCAGACUAGAGGUAGGUAGGGGAGAAUGGAAUUCCCGGUGUAGCGGUGAAAUGCGCAGAUAUCGGGAGGAACACCGGUGGCGAAGGCGGUUCUCUGGGCCUUACCUGACGCUGAGGAGCGAAAGCAUGGGGAGCGAACAGG